GUCUCCAUAGUUCAAGGGAAAGAACGUCACUCUCCUAAAGUGAAGAUGCAGGUUCGAAUCCUGCUGGGGAUAC
rnacentral:tRNA from 1 species